rnacentral:lncRNA from 1 species
AAAAACUCGACAGUCUCUGGCCUUCCUCCUCAUGCGAGGUAGCAGCAACGCACUGGACGAUCAAACGCUCGUAUUUCGCUGCAUCGUCUCGAGGUGACCCCCUUGCAGACAAUGCGAAUCACGACCAAUGUCCGGGGGCGGGUGCUCCUUGUUUCCUGGUUUCAGAUCUAAAAGGAGCUAUGAAGAAAUCACAGGCAAUGCUGAUUUUGGAACCGGGACAGCCACUCACAGAACCUGGAAAUCACCCUCGGCUACUUUGAUCAUCACAGCCUUCCACAGUUUGAAAAGCAAGAUCACUGGGUUUGUCCGCAAUGCACACACGGGCAUUGUGGUGGAAAAAUGCGACAAGACAGUGAGGAUGUGCAAUCUUGAAAGAAGAAAGAGGA